GUGACCUUCGGCAGGUCACCUCACCUCCAUGCUACAAGCUUCUCCACCUGUGAAAUGGAGAUGGGACAGGGUCACCCUCAGUACCUGAUGUAAGCUCUCAGCUGUCCCAGCCACUGCGGCUGUGGCUGCUGCCGCUUCUCCAUCAUGACGGACUUUCAUCCCUUCAGAACCAUAAGCCCAAAUAAACCCUUCCUUCUCGCAGGAAGAGAGAUGGUAGUCAGCGAGUGACUCCGGAACAACAAGCUAUGGCCUGAAGAGAAAUGAAAACCAUCCAGACCUCAGUUUGCCUCACAGACGCUGUGCAGAGCACCAUGGGUAAGCAGGGCCCAGUCCUGAAAACAGACAGUAGCCACACCAGCUCCAAGGGAAGCUACAAGAUAGACAGCAGACGUCACAGAAACCCAGAAGUCCAGAGCCCAGAGAAAACCACCCUUUCACCUGAGGCCAUCACUAAGAAGGUCCGCUGAGACGCUGAGACAAGAGUGGCAGCUACAGAGGCUGAGAGCCCAGCACGGGGCUGUAGGGACAGGAGCCUGGUGCUGGGCGGGGCUACAGGACGGACAAGGUUGGAGUGUGGGAGCUGAAGAGGCGCAGCCAGGCACACUCCACGUAGACUGCUCUUGGGGAGGCUGCAGUGAGGGAGGGGCCUGGGAAAGGCCAGGCUCCAGUCACAGGCUCCGGGACUGGUAGCACAGAGAA